AUGACAGACAGGAUAUUGUAUUUUAAUUAUUUUGUUUCAUUUUCUUCAUUAUUUCCUUAAUUUUCUUCAGUAGUUUCUUUUUCUUAUUACUUGACUCAUAUUUUGGUUAUUUUUGUCCGUACUUUCAUAAUUACUUUUAAAAUUGCAUUAUUUUAUCCUAGUUUUUUUUAAAAAUACUUUCUCAUGAAAAAAAGUCAAAUUACAUGAAGAAAAUAUUUACAUCUACAAACUCUCCUUAAAAAAGUUAUGAACAACCUGAAAAUUCUUAAGAAAAAUAAGUGCAAUAUUAACAACAUUAUGCCUCAACUUAAAACAUUUAGUAACGAGUAAAUAAUAGGGUUGAAGUUUUUGGUGUUUUGGUUUUCGUUUUUAAAAGAAAAAAAAAGUGAAAUUACAUGAAAAUGUUUAAAGCCACAAACUAUCCUUUCAUAACAAAUGUGAACAACCUGAAAUGUCUUAAGAAAAAGUGGAAUUUUAACUUUUAAUUUUUUAAUAUUCCUCAAAUUUUUGUUUUUGUACAAAUUUUGCUCACAUUUGUGAGAGUUUUUUUUUUGUCAUUUUUUGUGUUAAUUUUUCUCAGAUUUCUCAAAUAUACUAAAUGUUGAAUGUAUUUGUAGAUCCACUCUGAUCUGUUUGUUAUAAUGAACGUAUAAAUGAUAAACUGAGGCUGAAUAUUGGUCCAAUUCCACUGAUUUUUCUUAAUAAAUUCCAGGUUGUUCAUGUUCUUUAAAGGAUCGUUUGUAUGUGAACAUUUAUCAUCAUGUACUUUCACUCUUUUCUCUGUUCUUAUUCAACUGAUUCUGAUCCACUUUGGGUCAUUUUGGGCUGAAUGUGGAACCUGAACUAACCUGGGUUCCACAGAUCUGGGUUAAAUAAACCCACUUGGAUCCACACGUAUGAUACGGUUGUGGCGUGUUUUGCAUCUCUUUAUUUAUUGCGUGUUUGUUGGAGGUGUAUGUGUGCACCUGGUGUCAUUUUUAGCGACUCUACGGGGUUAGAUUGGUGUCAAAAUAUUCAUGUGCUUAAAAUAGAAAUGUGUGCAUAUUAUUAUUAUUAUGCCGCGUUUCCUCUAUGUGGAAUCGGCCUGACUCUGGUACCAGGUCCUAUUCCAGACUGUUUCCAUGACCGGAUACUACUGACUUUACAGUACGUGGUCAUCCUAGCAAUGCGGUGCGUAACUUCCUGUCGUCUGCUUAGAGUUGCUGAUAAACUCGAUCGUUCUGUCAAACUCACGCUGAACUUUUUCAUCGGCACCAAGGACAGAACUGUCUGAACCUCCUGGACCAACCACGGUGUCGUUUUACAGGCUGUCAUCAUGUGGAUUAAACUACGAUAGAUUUGCUGUCGACUUCAGAAUCUGUUUUUUCAAAAUGGUGGAUCGCUGCACAUUGAUGUAGAGAGAGCUCUGACCAAUCAGUGGUCUGCAGUGUUUACACAUCACGUUUUAGUGUCUGUUCCCCAGUUUUCGAACCUCGGUGGAGUAGAUACCAAAAAACUAGUACCGGGUACCAGGUUCCAGGUCCUUUAUCGUAAUGGAAAUGAAAAAAGGCCGAGUCAAGUCGAGUUGGUACCAGGUCAUAAUAUAAACACAGAUCUGAUACACAUGAAAUUUUUGACACCAAACUAACCCCAUAUGACUCCCUUCGUGACGGUUUUGGUCGUUACCUCAAACCCUAAAAGGAAAAUAAAAGCUGAGGGCGUGGUCUAAACCUAGCCCCUCCCCCUCCCUUUCCCCUCGACUCGGUGCGAGGUUUGGACAGAGGGAAUGCGAUUGGUCGGAUGCUGCUCUUCCUCUUCGGUCGUCGUUGGUUUUACUUCCUGUUCGGUUUCAGGCUCAGGGGUCCCUGGUCCCUGGUCGGUCCUGGUCUGGGUGGAGAUCCGGCUCCAAUCGGUACAAACCUGUUUGUUUCACUGUUUUCAGAUUUAACGUCACGUUUCAGUUGUGAAACUUUCUGCAGACGAGAACUUCUUCCUGUUUCCAGUUUUGUCUUUUGCAAAUCGAAGACAUAAAAUGAAACUUUUCCUAUAGUUUUAAAUAUUGUCUUUUCUGUUCCCGUAUGUGGAAGUAUUUUUACUCAAAUAUCGGUCUGUCUACAUCCACAGCAUUAAAAUAACUCGUAAACAUUCAGGUUAUGCCUUAGAUUUUUAUACCACUUUUUUUUAUAUAAACCAAUAGCUGUUUUUUUGUUUUUUGUUUUUUGUUUUUUUUUUUUAUCAUAAUUGGACAGUAACUAAGUAUUUUUAUUCAAGUAUUUUUACUAAAAUACUGGGUUUAAGUUCACGUCAUUAAAUAUAUUUUUUUCUUCUAGAUUUACAGCAUUAAACUGACUCUUAAACUCUGCAACAUUAUUUAUAAGUUACUUUUACAGGACAUAUAAUGAUAAAAGUGUAGUUAAACUACUAAAAACCAACAGUUACAGUAUUGGAAGAAAAAAGUCAAAGUAUUACAUUAAUAAAAUUGUAACACUUUGAGAAUCAAGUCAUAAUAUUGUUAAUUAUUUUGAGGAAAAAAAUGUCCUAAGAAAUAUUAUUGAAUACAUGAAUAAAGUCAAAGGUUUGAGGGGAAGACUCGUAUUUUCUCUCCUGGAUCCAAUAAUUUCCGUUCAGUGUUGAAUUAUUGGACCAAUCAGCUGCUGUCGCCGUGUGGAAGCGUCCAAUCAGAGCGGUGGACACUUCUUCAGAUGCUGUGUUUGGUCAUCCGUCAGUGAAAUGCAUCCUGGGAGUCGUAGUUGACUGUCCAAACCCAGACCAGAACCCGUGUCCUGUGUGUGUGGGGGGGGUGUUCUGCGGCGCGUCCCCAGGACCCUCGUUGUCCCCCCUUGGCGUCCCCCGCCAGAACCGCCGUCUCCUCCAGGACCCGUUGCUGAGGCUGACUGUAAAUGUGCAUGUGUAUAUUUAUUCUCCAUGGAAACCGUUGGGUUGAUGCUGUGCAAUGGUUCAACGUCAGCGAUGACGAAAACCGACUUUUUGUGGUAAUUUUAUUUAAUUCAUCUUAGGAAGUGAUCUUUAUUCUUAGAGUUUUAUUUUUGUUUGUUGUGAUCUACUUAGAGUUUUACCGAGGCAGGCGUCAGGAGGAGGUUCUCAGUAACAUCCAGAACCAGAACCACAUAGAACCGGAUCCACAUAGAACCGGGUUCACAGAGCCACUUUCUGUUCAGGUUUGUUUCAUGGAUGUUAAGUAUUCGUUCGCAUGAACCGGUUACAUCUGUCACUGAUUCAAGACCAUCGUAACCCAAAUGGAACCCCUGCAGGACCGGUUUAUUCAAGCCCAGAACUGGACUUGGCAGGUGUUUGAUGGUUUCAGACCCAGUUGAUGCUUUUGUCGUAUUUCAGUUUCAAACCAUCAAAUGAAAAAACAGGUUUAUUUUCAUCACAUGGAGUCGAUUCAGCGACGACCCGUCAAAACCAGUCCAUAUAAGACCCACGUGGUCCAGGACCUGGUCCUGGUCAAGGUCCCAUUCUUGGUCCAGAUCCAGAUCUUGGUCCAGGUCCCAGUCAGGGUCUAGAACCAGGUCCUGGUCUCAGUCCAGGUCUUGGUCUUGGUCCUGGUCCAGGUCCUUUGAAGGCCUCCUCCUCCGUCCUGUCCUCGUUUUUCUUUCUUUUAUUUCUGUCGUUGUGUUCAUAGGUUCUUCUCCUCCUCCUUCUCCUCCUUCUUCUUCUUCUUCUUCUUCUUCAGGUUAGAACCAUUUGAAACUCUUUGGCCGCUUCGGUCUUCGCCGCCGCAUCGCUCUGGAUCUGCCUCGGCGGCGGCAUCUCACCUUUUAGAGAUUAGACUUGUUUUCUUCUAUGAAAAGAAACUUGAUGUGUUUAUUCUAAAUAUGAUGUUUUGUCUUCGUUUUAGCAAAAGGUUUUGUUUGUUUUUUGACUUGUGCUCCCGACAAAUACUUGAAUUUCUUAAAAAACUGUUUAGAGUUAAAGUAGUGAAUGACAAAUAAGUAAAUAAAUGGACACUGGAU